UUAGAAAGCAAGAGGAUUCACCCUUUGUGUGAAACAUUGGCACUUUAUCUGGGGAACGUUGACCAACGCAGCACAAAGGUUGAUGCUGACAAUAGCAGCAAUGAAUGUAGGUAGGACAAAGUACCACUGACGUCUCCUGGAAGGCUGGCAAAGAGUGCUAGAAAUGAUGAUUAUGUGAUUGCGGCUGACUGCGGUGGUGUGGCAGCACUGAAGCGGCUACGAGUCUGCCAAAUUUCAGUCCCAUGGGAGUCACCUAUCCCUGCUUUUGGACUCAUUCUAACUAAGUCAUACGAUAGCAAUUAUCAUUAACAUACAAAACAGACAAAAUAGAUACCAGACUUCAUUAAGCUCCAUCUUGUGGCUCUGUCGGUGCUUAUUGAAAUGCUGUGCCAGCACCCAAACAGAAUGACUGAACCUAAAACCAGGAGUGUAAUUCUGAAGCACGUUGCAGUUGUAUUUUCUGUAUUUAAUACCCUGUAUUUAAUUUUCGUACAACUUCAGACAAAAAGCUUGUUCUCUGUUUUAGGCAUGAUUUAUAUUAACAGGAGGAAGAAAUUGAUAACAUUUCUUCCUAUAUUUACUGCACUUGCUUCAUUUUAAAUAAACCAAAAUGGUGAGAUGCAUUUAUUCUCCAAGCGUAGCAGUGCAUUUAUGCUUGGAUAUUAUAUUCUAAGAAUUCAGUAUUGCUUUACAAAAAUUGCAUCACCAAAGUUGUAAUUGUGAAUCAAAAGAAUAGAUCAUCCUAACAUAAAAUAUAAAACUCUACUAAACAGAUAAUUUCCUCAAUACUGUCAAACUAUUUACUAAGUCUGCACUACUAUUAAUCUUGUCAUCGUUCCCAUCACCCAUCUCCUCCCAUUUAAGAUUAUAUGACUGUAACCUUGUUGCUGGUAUCCUUAUGAUUUAUAUUGACUGUUUCCUAAUAUGAUUUGAUUGCUUAUUUGUACCCUAUGACUAUCAUUAAGUGUUACCUUAUGAUUCUUGACGAAUGUAUCUUUUCUUUUAUGUACAGCUUAUGCACCAAAGACAAAUUCCUUGUGGGACCAAUCACACUUUGUCAAUAAAGAAUUCUAUUCUAUUCUAUUCUAUAGUGCCUCCCAAUGGAUGAAUGACACUUUCUUCUGCCCUCAUAAUCUAUUUGUCAAUCAGGUUCAAAUACUAUAAUGUGGUCCGUUUAAUUUGUCUUAGUGUACUGCAAAAAUCUAGAUAAAUUUCUGAAUUAUGUUGCUUGUUCUCCAUGAGAUAUUAGCAGAGUUUGGGCUCUGGAUCUCUGUUACUGCCUUAUGGUAAUCAUCUAGAUCAGGGGUGUUAAAUGUUUUGCAACUUUUUCCCCCUUUGCCAAACUGGGUGUGGGCAUGGCCAGCGUGUGAUGCAUCUGGCCCAUGGGUCACGAGUUUGACAGCUCUGAUCCAGAUUUUUGCAACCCAUGCAGCUAUAAUGUCGAUAGUGUUUAUAAGGCCUAACACAAUUGUUUCUAAACUUAGUGUAACUAACACAGCAAAUUAUUUUUAAUGACAGUAGUCAAGCAAACCUUGGCUUAAUGUUACAAGUGAGCUCAGCUACGGAAUUAUAUCAGUAUUGUUCAUAUCUGAGAUGAACUAUAAAACAUCACACAAAUAGUCCUUGAGUUACAAUGGCAACUGGGACUGAGAUUGCCAUCAUUAAGCAA